CCUACGGGGGGCUGCAGUGGGAAUAUUGCACAAUGGGCGCAAGCCUGAUGCAGCCAUGCCGCGUGUGUGAAGAAGGCCUUCGGGUUGUAAAGCACUUUCAGCGGGGAGGAAGGCGGUGAGGUUAAUAACCUCAUCGAUUGACGUUACCCGCAGAAGAAGCACCGGCUAACUCCGUGCCAGCAGCCGCGGUAAUACGGAGGGUGCAAGCGGUAAUCGGAAUUACUGGGCGUAAAGCGCACGCAGGCGGUCUGUCAAGUCGGAUGUGAAAUCCCCGGGCUCAACCUGGGAACUGCAUUCGAAACUGGCAGGCUAGAGUCUUGUAGAGGGGGGUAGAAUUCCAGGUGUAGCGGUGAAAUGCGUAGAGAUCUGGAGGAAUACCGGUGGCGAAGGCGGCCCCCUGGACAAAGACUGACGCUCAGGUGCGAAAGCGUGGGGAGCAAACAGGAUUAGAUACCCUUGUAGUC
rnacentral:rRNA from 1 species